UUAUUUACCUGGUAGAGGAGACAGCAUGAUCAGGCAGGUGGUUUUCCUAGGAUGAGGUUCAUCCCUUGCACAGUUCAGGGGUGGAGAAUGUGCUAGAUUUGGCUGGGAAUAGAGUUAAUUUUCUUCAUAGUAGCUAGUAUGAGGCUACGUUUUUGAUUUCUGC
rnacentral:snRNA from 11 species